rnacentral:rRNA from 1 species
GUGGGGAAUCUUGCGCAAUGGGCGAAAGCCUGACGCAGCCAUGCCGCGUGAAUGAUGAAGGUCUUAGGAUUGUAAAAUUCUUUCACCGGGGACGAUAAUGACGGUACCCGGAGAAGAAGCCCCGGCUAACUUCGUGCCAGCAGCCGCGGUAAUACGAAGGGGGCUAGCGUUGCUCGGAAUUACUGGGCGUAAAGGGCGCGUAGGCGGAUCGUUAAGUCAGGGGUGAAAUCCCAGAGCUCAACUCUGGAACUGCCCUUGAUACUGGCGAGCUUGAGUGUGAGAGAGGUAUGUGGAACUCCGAGUGUAGAGGUGAAAUUCGUAGAUAUUCGGAAGAACACCAGUGGCGAAGGCGACAUACUGGCUCAUUACUGACGCUGAGGCGCGAAAGCGUGGGGAGCAAACAGGAUUAGAUACCCCGGUAGUCC